rfam:Triticum urartu cultivar G1812 contig792833, whole genome shotgun sequence.
AGAGGAAGGAAGCAUCGUAAUGGGCACGCAGAUUGACUGAACUCGAUCUGCAUGUCUGCUCGCCCUGAUGCCCUCGGGCUUUGAUCUCCCGGACCUAGAUUUAACGCACACUU